AUCGAGAAUCAUUGCUAGAUGGUAGCUUCGAUUAGUACAAAAAUUGAUUCCUAUGCUACCGGCUUAGUGUUUGAACCUAUAGAGUCACGCACACAAGUCAAACAAUGUAGAAAAAUAUUGAUCUAUGUUUAUAUAUCCAAUUUGAAAGUACUUGACUUGAUUGAAUAUAUAAACUAACUUGACUAGAAUUAAGUUAUGGGUCAAACG
rnacentral:lncRNA from 1 species